GACGAACGCUGGCGGCGUGCUUAACACAUGCAAGUCGAACGGAAAGGCCCUGCUUUUGUGGGGUGCUCGAGUGGCGAACGGGUGAGUAACACGUGAGUAACCUGCCCUUGACUUUGGGAUAACUUCAGGAAACUGGGGCUAAUACCGGAUAGGAGCUCCUGCUGCAUGGUGGGGGUUGGAAAGUUUCGGCGGUUGGGGAUGGACUCGCGGCUUAUCAGCUUGUUGGUGGGGUAGUGGCUUACCAAGGCUUUGACGGGUAGCCGGCCUGAGAGGGUGACCGGCCACAUUGGGACUGAGAUACGGCCCAGACUCCUACGGGAGGCAGCAGUGGGGAAUAUUGCACAAUGGGCGGAAGCCUGAUGCAGCAACGCCGCGUGCGGGAUGACGGCCUUCGGGUUGUAAACCGCUUUCGCCUGUGACGAAGCGUGAGUGACGGUAAUGGGUAAAGAAGCACCGGCUAACUACGUGCCAGCAGCCGCGGUGAUACGUAGGGUGCGAGCGUUGUCCGGAUUUAUUGGGCGUAAAGGGCUCGUAGGUGGUUGAUCGCGUCGGAAGUGUAAUCUUGGGGCUUAACCCUGAGCGUGCUUUCGAUACGGGUUGACUUGAGGAAGGUAGGGGAGAAUGGAAUUCCUGGUGGAGCGGUGGAAUGCGCAGAUAUCAGGAGGAACACCAGUGGCGAAGGCGGUUCUCUGGGCCUUUCCUGACGCUGAGGAGCGAAAGCGUGGGGAGCGAACAGGCUUAGAUACCCUGCUAGUCCACGCUGUAAACGGUGGGUUCUGAGGUGUGGGGUCCAUUCCACGGGUUUCCGUGCCGUAGCUAACGCUUUAAGUACCCCGCCUGGGGGAGUACGACCGCAAGGCUAAAAACUCAAAGGAAUUGACGGGGCCCCGCACAAGCGGCGGAGCAUGCGGAUUAAUUCGAUGCAACGCGUAGAACCUUACCUGGGUUUGACAUGGAUCGGGAGUGCUCAGAGAUGGGUGUGCCUCUUUUGGGGUCGGUUCACAGGUGGUGCAUGGCUGUCGUCAGCUUGUGUCGUGAGAUGUUGGGUUAAGUCCCGCAACGAGCGCAACCCUUGUUCACUGUUGCCAGCACGUUAUGGUGGGGACUCAGUGGAGACCGCCGGGGUCAACUCGGAGGAAGGUGGGGAUGACGUCAAGUCAUCAUGCCCCUUAUGUUCAGGGCUUCACGCAUGCUACAAUGGCUGGUACAGAGAGUGGCGAGCCUGUGAGGGUGAGCGAAUCUCGGAAAGCCGGUCUCAGUUCGGAUUGGGGUCUGCAACUCGACCUCAUGAAGUCGGAGUCGCUAGUAAUCGCAGAUCAGCAACGCUGCGGUGAAUACGUUCCCGGGGCUUGUACACACCGCCCGUCAAGUCAUGAAAGUUGGUAACACCCGAAGCCGGUGGCCUAACCGUUGUGGGGGAGCCGUCGAAGGUGGGACUGGUGA
rnacentral:rRNA from 1 species